rnacentral:rRNA from 1 species
UACGUAGGGUCCAAGCGUUAUCCGGAAUCACUGGGCGUAAAGCGUCCGCAGGCGGCGCGUUAAGUGAGAUGCGAAAUCGUGUGGCUCAACCAUAUCGACUGUAUCUCAUACUGGCGUGCUAGAGGAUGGCAGAGGCAAGUGGAAUUUGUAGUGUAGCAGUGAAAUGCGUAGAUAUUACAAGGAACACCAAUGGCGAAGGCAGCUUGCUGGGCCAUUUCGUGACG